UACGUAGGGUCCGAGCGUUGUCCGGAAUUACUGGGCGUAAAGAGCUCGUAGGUGGUUUGUCGCGUUGUCCGUGAAAACUCACAGCUCAACUGUGGGCGUGCGGGCGAUACGGGCAGACUGGAGUACUGCAGGGGAGACUGGAAUUCCUGGUGUAGCGGUGGAAUGCGCAGAUAUCAGGAAGAACACCGGUGGCGAAGGCGGCUCUCUGGGCCUUACCUGACGCUGAGGGCGCGAAAAGCCCAGGGGGAGCA
rnacentral:rRNA from 1 species